rnacentral:rRNA from 1 species
UACGGGAGGGGCUAGCGUUGUUCGGAAUUACUGGGCGUAAAGCGCACGUAGGCGGCUUUGCAAGUUAGAGGUGAAAGCCCGGGGCUCAACUCCGGAAAUUGCCUUUAAAACUGCAUCGCUAGAAUUGUGGAGAGGUAAGUGGAAUUCCGAGUGUAGAGGUGAAAUUCGUAGAUAUUCGGAAGAACACCAGUGGCGAAGGCGACUUACUGGACACAUAUUGACGCUGAGGUGCGAAAGCGUGGGGAGCAAACAGGG